UAACUUGUGCCUGCUGUCGCCGCCGUCACGCUCGAUCCAAUCCUGUGCCACCAUCACCGCCGGCCUCGCGCUCCACCCAGUCCUAUAUCCCCCGUCCCGGAGCUCGCACUCCCCCGCCGCCGGCCUUACACUCCACCCCGUCCUCAAUCCGCCGUACUCAAUCCCCUGAGCUCCAGACCUAUAUCGAGGCGCCGUCCUCGCGCUGUCCAUCCAGUCGCUGUCCGCGCACAACCCCCUCCCCCCAACGUCCAGCCAACGUCAUCGUCAAUCCCCGUCCUGCGGCUGCCGGGGAUCCAUCUCUGGGCUCCCGCUGCUUCCGCACCUGCUGCUGCGGGGCUCCAUAUCUGGGCUCUUGCUGCCGCCGGAGCUCCAUCUCCGGGCUGCCGCUGCUGUCGGCCCUGCUACUGUUUGACUUCUGCCCUCUGCUGCUGGGCUCCAUCUCCAGGCUCAUGAGAUCCGUCCCCAAGAUACGUCCAUCCACCGCCCCCAACCCCAAUCCCAUUCCACGUCCCCGAGUCCCCGACCCCAUCCCUUACUCCCUUCCUUGGAGUCACAGCCUCCGACAACUCCGUCCAUCAUCGCCUUGCACCUCGGGCUGGAGGGAGUGGGCGUUACUAGAAUGCACCACUUGUGGCUGCUAUGUUUUCUCCCUCAUACAUGGCAUCAAUGGUGUGUCUGCCUGAUCCUGCAACAAGUGUUCACUCUUUGAUGAGUCUUCUAAUCUGCAAUUUAUGCCUGGUCCAUCUUCAUGCUGCACAUGGUACUUUGACAUGGCCAUCAGCCUGACAGGAAUCCACUCCAAUUUUAUUCAAGCUUGCUAGGUUGCCAGACGAUGGGUGCUGAAAUUUCUUAUAUCUCAUAAAUUUGGAAGUCUUGAGAAGGGUGGUUGAUACAUGUCUUCACACUUUUCAGAGCAACGUGCGGUGGAAGAAGCAGCCUAUGAACUAAAAUAGUUUGCAUAAGAAACAUGCGAUGCGAGUACUCAACCAUCUACUGCGCAUGGAUGUGAUACUUCGGAGUGUUCGACAGCAUUUGGCUGUUUGUAGUAUUUUGGACCAGCCAACUUGCGAUCAUGAAUCUUAUGUCUGUUCUGGACCAUUUGGUGCUUCAAGUGAUUUGGAGCAUAUAUCUUGUGCUCAUGGGUGUGACUUUGUUCUGGACCAUUUAGUGUUUGAACUCCUUUAGAACAACAAAUAGUGGUCCUUUUAUGUGGCUUGUGUUUUCUAGAUGGUGGUCCAAAUGGCCAAACUUUGCUUUGUCAAGAUUGUCCUGUUUUUGAACUUAUGAUCAAUAUAUGUAUGUUUGUGAACAUAUUAUCAAUGCUUGUGCAAUAUGUGUUCAUCUUGAUCCUGUUUGUGUAUAACAUUUGAGCAUUGUAUAAUAUUUCAA